GUGGGGAAUAUUGGACAAUGGGGGAAACCCUGAUCCAGCCAUGCCGCGUGAAUGAUGAAGGCCUUCGGGUUGUAAAGUUCUUUUGGAGGGGACGAUGAUGACGGUACCCUCAGAAUAAGCUCCGGCUAACUUCGUGCCAGCAGCCGCGGUAAUACGAAGGGAGCUAGCGUUGUUCGGAAUUACUGGGCGUAAAGGGCGCGUAGGCGGUUUGGUCAGUCAGAUGUGAAAGCCCAGGGCUUAACCCUGGAACUGCGUUUGAUACUGCCAAGCUUGAAUUCGGGAGAGGUGAGUGGAAUUCCCAGUGUAGAGGUGAAAUUCGUAGAUAUUGGGAAGAACACCAGUGGCGAAGGCGGCUCACUGGACCGACAUUGACGCUGAGGCGCGAAAGCGUGGGGAGCAAACAGGAUUAGAAACCCGUGUAGUCC
rnacentral:rRNA from 1 species